CAGUGUGAUUCGUCACACUAUCAUUAACUGAAUCCAUAGGUUAAUGAGGCGAACCGGGGGAACUGAAACAUCUAAGUACCCCGAGGAAAAGAAAUCAACCGAGAUUCCCCCAGUAGCGGCGAGCGAACGGGGAGCAGCCCAGAGCCUGAAUCAGUGUGUGUGUUAGUGGAAGCGUCUGGAAAGGCGCGCGAUACAGGGUGACAGCCCCGUACACAAAAAUGCACAUGCUGUGAGCUCGAUGAGUAGGGCGGGACACGUGGUAUCCUGUCUGAAUAUGGGGGGACCAUCCUCCAAGGCUAAAUACUCCUGACUGACCGAUAGUGAACCAGUACCGUGAGGGAAAGGCGAAAAGAACCCCGGCGAGGGGAGUGAAAAAGAACCUGAAACCGUGUACGUACAAGCAGUGGGAGCACGCUUAGGCGUGUGACUGCGUACCUUUUGUAUAAUGGGUCAGCGACUUAUAUUCUGUAGCAAGGUUAACCGAAUAGGGGAGCCGAAGGGAAACCGAGUCUUAACUGGGCGUUAAGUUGCAGGGUAUAGACCCGAAACCCGGUGAUCUAGCCAUGGGCAGGUUGAAGGUUGGGUAACACUAACUGGAGGACCGAACCGACUAAUGUUGAAAAAUUAGCGGAUGACUUGUGGCUGGGGGUGAAAGGCCAAUCAAACCGGGAGAUAGCUGGUUCUCCCCGAAAGCUAUUUAGGUAGCGCCUCGUGAAUUCAUCUCCGGGGGUAGAGCACUGUUUCGGCAAGGGGGUCAUCCCGA
rnacentral:rRNA from 1 species